rnacentral:tRNA from 1 species
GCCCGUUUAGCUCAGUGGUAGAGCGCGCCACUUGUAUGGUUAUGGUGAGGUCGGUUGUUCAAUCCAGCCAAUGGGCA